CAGACUUCCCUUUCUUCUGUGUUUCCAGUUAGCAUGAGCCACGUGUCAUGCUAUUCUGGAAGGCAGGAAGAAAGCAAAAGCCAUUUUGUAGCUCACACACUUCGUUGCUGAUCUGCAAACUCACCUUGGAAUAAAGCAGAGCUGGGCCUCAAUUAUUCCCCUUUUCUCCUGGAUCUUCCUUCAGUGUCACUGACUCCUGGACCAGAUUUGCUGCUCAGUCAUAAUAGGAUGUCAGCGGCCUUCAGUGCCUACAUCUUCCCGCAUCCCAUGAACUCACGUGGGAAAUACCUGGAGCCCAGAUCUUCCUGAGAGAGCUGCGGAAAAACCUGACACCUGCUCAGGGCUUUUUCAUAAUCAAAGGUGAUGCUGAUGCACAGUUGAGGGGUGUGAAAAAUCAAGCAAAACUCUCCGUGAAUGCUGAAUGACAACCACAAGCUCUGUUUGUUGAGGAUCUGGAGUGAGUUCUGCCAGCUGCCUUUGGCCCAGAUCUCCAUGGAGUGACUCAUCAUACCUCUGCAUUUCUGGGAAUUUGGAAUGUUCUUUUAUGAUUUUUUAAUUAAGGAAAAAAGUGUUUUGCUUAGAAUAUAUACAUCUACAUAUUUGAAAGAAAAUACACCAAAAUGUCAAGUGUUCAUUUUGAGGCAAAGGAUCUAAAUAGAAAACAUUAAAGAAGUCUCACUCCGAUGAAUGAGGCCGAGCCUGCAGCUCAAGGAAACCCUGGAGACUGCAUAGGGUGUUGGAAGAAAGAAUCUCAGAAGAAAGAAAUCUUCCCAUGAAGAGAGAACAUCAAUUUCCAAGCCAGCAAGGGCGAGCUGGGGCCUCAGGAAGGAGGGGUGGGGUGGAGAGUGAACAGAUCCACACACUGGUAAGGUAGAUGAAUAAGAGAGAAACACCUAAAGCUUGCCCGAAAGCAAAGUCCUUGACCAGGUUUUUGUUCUGUGGAGGUCCCUUAAAACAACCCUGACUGGAGUUUUCUUUAACUGGCCCUGAGGGGAGAAAAAUGCCAGGACUCACCAAUGGAUGUUUCUCAAAUGCAAAGAAUCCUUCCAGUGGUCGUCUAUGUGUAGUGACGUGGGCAGCCCUGAUAUGAUCUGAGGGGUGCAGCGCAGUGGUUCCUCCCACACAGAUUCUGGCUCUGGCCCCAUCCUGGUUUUUGAACACCUAUCUACAUAACCUGCUAUGGAGUAAAGGUAUUGUUUGCCCAACACGCCUGUUGAAAGGCAAGUGUCCCUGGUAGGGUAAUCCAUUAGCAUUGGCAGGUCCUUCAGCAUAGAUGUGUGUCUCAGAUUAGAGGACUAGAAAGGCCUGGAAGUUGGGGAGAGUUAGUCUGAUAUGGAACAUUAGAGAGGAAUAGAGAAGGAGGGGAAGGAGAGAGGAGGGCAAAAGGGAGAGCAUUUUGACCAGCAUUUGGCCUUGAGACAGAAGGGGCUGAGUGAGGAUGAGAGCAGAAAUUUAAAUGGGAAGGUGUGGGGGCCCCUAAGGGGUUACUGUUUCUUCCACAAGCUACCAGGGCCAGACUCAUUCUUUCCUAAGGGCUCUCAUUCUUCCUCAAGCCCACUGGUGAAUUCACCUUUGAGUAUAGGCCAAAAGAGGAGACAACUCACUUCCUUUUAAUUAUUGAAACAAUAAUGUAAUAGCACCAUCAUUAAGCACUGGUUCUUAACUUGGGAGGGAGGUGAUCAUCGAACUCCUCUGAGAAUCUGAUGAAAGCUGUGCUCGUACUUCUCAAAAAAAUAAACAUAUGCACAGCCACACAAAAUAUGGUAUGUUUUCACUUGUUUUAUGGACACUGUGGGGGCCCAUCUCUGGGUCCCAUGAGAGGCCAUUGUCUCCUAGCUAAAAUGCUUUGAUUUAUUCUUUAAUAAUCCUAACACAGAGGUUUCAUUUUUGUGCAUUUAUUCUAAGCCCUCUUCCUUAUGCAUGCAUAAUUGUUACAGUGCAAUCAUAAUCUACAUACAAUUUAUGUGUUCUACUUUAUAAAAUCUAACAUUAUCUGGUAAACAUUUUUCUAUGUUGUUAUAUAUUCUUCACAAUUAUAAAUUUGAAUGAAUAUAUAAAAUUGUAUUGAAUUGUUGCAGUAUAAUUUUCUUAACUGUUCCUUAAUGACUAGGUGUUUAAAUGGCUUCUAAUUUUGUAGUAUAGAUAAUGCUACACUGAAUAUCCUUAUCCAUUUAUCUUGCUUCUGUUGAAUGUUUCCUUGAGAAAAAUUCCUACCCUUUACAAAAUCAAAGUGUAAGAAUAUUUUUAUGGGUCUUAAAAGAUGAUGUGAUAUUGCUUUCCAAAGAAGUUAUAAUUUUGGGUACCGCCAAUAGUAUACAAGUGUCCCAAUUUCCCCAAAUCUUUACCUAUAAUGGGUACUAUUAUUGAAUUUUUUUCUAAUUUAAUAGUUUUCAAAGCAUCAAGAAGAUAGUCUGAUGUUUGGUUGCCAAGGGGUGAAGUGGAGAAUGAGAAGAGUGUACUGGGAGGAUGGGGAAGUCUGGUCUAUAAUGGGAAUGGAUAAAGCUUCUAAGCUUUUCAGUAACAACUGGAACCAAGCAGGCUAUAUGAGUUAAGGAGCAGCACUCACGGACUUAGUAAACAGUACAUUCCCACUUUCUGUCCAAUCCCUUUUCAAGCUUCCACUUCUAAAUUUUAUCAGUCAAAAUGGAAACUGGGAGCUAGGGUUUGAUCAGGACCAACAGGGUUACUGUGGGUCACUUUGUAAGGCUACUGUGAUAUGGUAACAGUAUGGUUUAUCCUCAGGAUGUCAUUGUCUCUAAAAAAUUGCCUUGUGCUCCAUAGCAGCACUAUCCAAUAGAAACAUAAUGCAAGCCACAUAUACGUAGUUUUCAGUUUUCCAGUAGCCACACUAAAGAAAAAAAGUAAAAAGAAACAAAUGAUCCUCCUGACCUCAAAAUAUAUUACAAAGCUACAGUUGUUAAAACAUGGUACUAGCAUAAAGACAGACAUACACACCAAUGGAACAGAAUAGAAAGCUCAGAAAUAAACUCACAGGUAUACAUUCAACUGAGCUUUGACAAGGGUGUCAAGAAUAUAUAAGAGGGAAUGGACAGUAUCUUCAACAAAUGUUGUUGGGAAAACAGGAUAUCCACAUACAAAAUAAUGAAAUUAAAUCUUUAUCUUACUGUAUGCAUAAAAAUUAAUUCAAAAUUGAUUAAAGACUCAAACGUAAGACCUGAAACCAUAAAACUCCUAGAGAGAGGAAAAGCUUUAGUACACUGGGCUUGCUAAUAAUUUCUUAGAUAUGAUACCAAAGUACAAACAACAAAAGCAAAAUUGUACAAUGUGACUACAUGAAACUAAAAAGCUUCUGUACAACAAAGGAAACAAUUAACAGAAUGAAAAGGCAGCCUACAGAAAGGGAGAAAGUAUUUUCUAUAUAUAUAUUGAUAAGGGAUUAACAUCCAAAAUAAAUAAGUUCCUACGACUUAGUAGCAAAAAACCAAAUAAUCUGAUUUAAAAACAGGCAAACAGGCAAAGGACUUGAAUAGAAAUUUCUCCAAAGAAGACUUACAAAUGGCCAACAGGUGUAUGAAAAGAUGCUCAACAUCACUAAUCAUCAGGGAAAUGUGAAUCAAAGCCACAGUGAGAUAUCACCUCACACCCAUUGAUAUGGUUAUUGUCAAAAACAAAACAAGGCUGGGAGUAGUGGCUCACAUGUGUAAUGCCAGUACUGUGAGAGGCCAAGGCAGGAGGAUCACUUGAGGCCAGAAGCUCAAGACCAGCCUGAGCGAAACAGUAAGACCCCGUCUCUUCAAAAAAUUAAAAAAUUAGCUGGGCAUGGUGGUGUGCCCGUAAAAUCUCAGCUACUUGGAAGGCUGAGGUGGGAGGAUCGCUUGAGUCCAGGAGUUCGAGGCUGCAGUGAACUAUGAUCACACCACUACACACCAGCCUGGGUGACAGAGCAAGACCUUGUCUCAAAAAUAAAUAAAUAAAUCAGACAAAAAAGAUUAAAAUGUUGGUGAGACUGUGGAGAAAUUGGAAUUUUUAUAUACUGUUAGUGGGAAUGUAAAACAGUGCAGCCAAUAUAGAAAACAGUAUAAAGUUUCCUCAAAAAAUAAAAAAUAGAACUACCAUAUGUUCCAGCAAUUCCACUACUGGGUAUAUCCCAAAAGAAUUGAAAUUAGAAUCUUGCAGGGAUAUCUGUACUCCCAUGUCCAUUGCAGCAGUAUUAGCAAUAGCCAAGACAUGGAAGCAACCAAAAUGUUCACUGGCAGAUGAAUGGAUAAAAAAAUAUGGUAUAUAUAUACAAUGGAAUAUUAUUCAGCCUUUAAAAAGAAGAAAAUCCUGUCACUUGAGACAACAUGGAUGAACCCGGAGGACAUUAUGCUAAGUGAAAUGAGCCAGUCACAGAAGACAAAUACUGCAUGAUUCCACUUCUAUGAGGUACCUAAAAUAGUCAGACUCACACAAGCAGAAAAUAGAAGUGACUACCAGGAGCUGAGCUGGGGGGAGUAGGUUGGGACUUGUUCAGUUGAUAUAAAGUUUUGGUUAUGCAGGAGAAAUAACUUCUAGAGAUCUGCUGUACAGCAUAGCACCCAUAGUGAAUGGUACUGUAUUAUGCCCUUAAACAUUUGUUAUGAGGUUAGAUCUCAUGUUAAGCACUCUUGCCAAAAACAAACAACACAAAACAAAGAAAAAGGAAAAAAACAGUGGAGGGAGGACACAGGGAAACUUUUAAAGGUGAUGGAGAUGUCUAUUACCUUGAUUGUGGUGAUAGUUUUAUAGGUGUAUGCAUAUGUCCAAACUCUUCAAAUUAUAUGCAUUAAACGUACAUAGUUUUAAUAUAUCAAUUAUAUCUCAAUAAAACUAUUAAAAAACAAAUCAAAUUAACUUCAGUACUAUAUAUUAUUUAACCUGUCAUAUAUUUAAAAAUAUCAUUUCAGCAUGUAAUCAACAUAAAAAUUAUUAAGUAUUUUCACAGUCCUUUUUUCAUACUAAACCUUUGGAAACUGUUGCAUAUUUUAUACUAACAACACAUCCCAGUUCGAGACACCUAUAUUUCUAGUACUCAGUUGCCACAUGUGGUCAUGGCCACUGUAGUAGACAGUGCAGCUCUGUGGCCUCAGCCCACAGAGAUGAGCCUAGGAUGCUUUGCAUUGCAGAACUGUCUUUCUCUUAACGCUUGAGCUAUUGGGAAAUCAGAGCCAUGUUAUUUAUCAUGAAAGAGCAUUUGAUUAAAAGUAUAAAAUAUCCUAGGUCAGAUGGCUCACUGUAGUUGCAGGGGAGACAGUGAAUUGCUGACCAUGCACUGUGAUACAUCAAAAUAUAGGGACAUUCAGGCACCUCCUCAGCCUACUGAAUCAGGAUCUUUGGGGUGAGUCUAGAAAACAGAUUUUUAAGUACAGGUUUUAAUAUGAUAAUAAGUGGUGCCUGUUAUUAAUGGGAGGACAUUGAAUCCCAGAGAGAAUGAAUGACUCACUCAUGUUCUUCUCAUAGUUAGGGGUCAGCUAGACCUAGAACCUCACUUGGACCCACUAGACACCUUUCCACGCCCUCACCACAAUCACUGCCAACUGCUAUUCCAGCACAAUUCUUGCCAAGAAAAUACCUGCUGUCAUGUGACAGGUAUCAGCACACUUUAGGAGCAGUCAAGACAACUUCCUAAGAAGGUAAACUAUAUUUUCCCAACUUACCAAAUUAGAGUAAGAAGAAUAGAUUUCUUCCUUUAAUCUGGCUUUGUCUCAGACUGGAAGUGCUCUCUUGUCCAGUUAGAAACUAAUCGUGAUAAAAUUAGUAGGCCAGAAGGACACUCAUGGCCCAUCUUUAACAGGAUUUAUAGCCCUGGUUCCUUUUCUUGUUGCCUCUGUGGAAAUGUGCAAGCAUACACAUAGUUAGGAAGGUUUGAAGGAAAUGCCUUAGAGAAGUCUCAGUGACCAAGAAAAGCUAGUCAAAUUGCCAGCUUCGGCCACAGCCAUGUGUUAAAAUGCUCUGCAGACCCAAGUGUGAUCAUGAAACAAGUACAGCAAGAACAGCAGGUCUGUAAACAUCCUGAUGACAAUGGGGAACAAACAGCUGGGCCGAGACCAGAUCGGUUCAGGCAAAUGUGCUCGUGCUUUUGAUCCAAGUGCAAGAUGAGCGGAUGCAGGGGAGGCGGCAGCUGCGGCACAGCUGGACUCAGGAGGCAUGUGAUAGCGUGACUUGCAAAUCAUGCUGGAAAAAUUCAUUCUACUAAGCUUGGACGUGAACACAGUCACGUGGGGCCCAUCAGCUCACACACUGCAGCCAAGAGCGAGACAGAAAUGCAACCGGGCUAAUAAGAGGCGUCAGGCCCACUUCUAGUUGGACACGGCUGUCUUUCAGGGAAGGAAUGGGACAGGAAAUGCACUAUAUUUGGAAAUGACUCUAAAUUUAGAAUGAAAGACUGACUUGAGAAUACUGAAAACUUGAUUGAGAGAUACUUAAAUGUAUUUUAUAAGCAUGGAAGGCAUUUACUGGGGUCUCUACCAUAGUGUUUUUUGCUUGUUUGUUUGUUCGUUGAAGACAAGGUCUCACUGUGUCACCCAGACUGGAGUGCAGUGGCACAAUCACAGCUCACUGCAGCCUCAACCUCCUGGGCUCAAGUGUUCCUCAUGCGUCAGCCUCCAGAGUAGCUGAGGCUACUUGACCACAGGCAAGCACCACAUGCCUGGCUAAUUAAAAAAAUUUUUUUUUGUAGAGAUGGUAUCUCCCUGUGUUGCCCUGGCUGGUCUCAAACUCUUGGGCUAAAGUGAUCCUUCCACUUCAGCCUCCUAAAGUGCUGGGAUUGCAGUUGGGAGCCACAGCUCCUGGCUUCAUAGUGUUUAAUAUGAAAGGCUAUUCUGAUCUUUCCUACUGGUCUAGCACUUUGGGGUUUGCAAAGAGCCUUACAUUCACUUUCACUUCACCAAUGAGUAAAUAAGCCUCAGAAAAACUGAGUAAAUACUAGAGCUCCAGUGGCGCAAUCGGUUAGCGCGCGGUACUUAUACAGAAAAACUGAGUAAAUACUGAAUGUAUGUGUGUGUAGACAUACAAUAUUACAUGAUGUGCUAUUAAUAUAGCAUGUGUAUAUAUACUGUUUUACACAUAUUUAUAUAUAUUAUCAUACUAUAUAUGCAUAUAUGCAUACUAUUAUAAUCAUUCAUUUAACAAAUAUUUAUUGAGCAAUUACUUAGGUACCGGGCACAGUGCAGUAUAUCAACAAGGGUAAGGGAUGCAGACAUUGCAACUCUCAUGGAACUCAGAGCCUAGUUAGGAAGAAAACCAUUGCAUAAACAAUCACAACAUAAAUAUGAUUAGAGUCUGGAGUAAGUGCUACAAAAGAAAAGUCUAAGAGGUCACAAGAGUAUAAGAAGAGGGUCUGCCUUGCCUGGAGCAUCAGAUGCUCCCCUGAGGAAGGAGCCUGUGAGCUGAGCGGUCCGGAUGAGCAGGUGUUUUCUACAGUCUGUGCAUUGUGUCUGCUGAGAAUCUGGAAAUUAAAAAUGCUGCUGUUGGGGGUUUCACCAUGUACGGACGAGGCAGGAGUUCCUCCAAAAAAUACAAAUUCCAUGAGGUUAAAUCAGACCUCUCAGCCCCAAUCAAAAGGUAAGGACUUCGUGGAAGCUAAGGUCAAAGUCCAAUCGAUUUAAUAGACCCUGAGAAUGUAACAUCCUAUGGAAGCUGAAAUCUAAGUGCAGGUUAGUUCUCCCAAUUGCUUUCUGCCCUUUAAGGUUAGAGAAAGAUGACAGCAAGAAGCAUAAAACUCAGUUGUGGCUCUCAGAGCAGUCCUUGUUUUGAGGUUUUCUUUUUUCUGUCUUCUCCUUUCCCCCCUGUCUCCUCUCUGUCUUUGUCCUCCUUCCUCUACCUUCUUUAUUUUUCACUGUUAUAGAUUAGUACCAUCUAUUCUAUUAAUAUUGACUAUAAAUGCAUGUUUUCUUCAUGUUAAAUGCCUAUCAAUUGUCUUCUACCUUCCAAAAGUUAAAAAUGUAUAUAUGAUAUGGCAAAACUUGUGCUAGAUCACAAAAGCAAGCUUUCAUUUUGAUUUACACAGGUAUGUGUGUACACACAAACACACUAAAUACAAAGGGUUGCUGCUAUAGGCUAGCAUAAAUAGCUUCCUGAUUCUUAACACAUCAGGUAAUAUAAAUUCUGGUAAGCUCAGACUGCCUCUAUAUGUUCAUAUCAAUUAGCCUUAAGGGUCUUUUUCUGAAGCACACGGUAAAAUCAACACAGCAUUAGGAGCUAUUUUCUCAAAAACAAAGAGUUUGAAUUCUUGCUGUAGUAGUUCUGAAGUAAAAGAGAGGCUCCUUGCCCCUCGUUGUUCAAAGUCAUCCAUUUCCAACAGGCGAGGGCAUCAACAAUUUGGCAGAGGCAGGUAAAAAAGAGCCAGGGGAACCCAAGUGAAAUUUCAACACAGCGGUUGCCUUGGAACCCAUUUGGAGGUUAACUUGCUCUUGUUUCUCCAGCAUUUCCUUGCUGAAGGAAAUUUGUACUCCAAUUCCAGCCGCGUUCCAACUCCAAUAAAACAGUGAUAAGAUGCCCUGGAGGGUUGCAGCCAAGCCUGUGGGUGCAAACAGGGUCAAAUCACAUCAUGGGAAUGAGAUGGGAUUCUACAUAGUUUGAGUGUUGACUGUUUUCCUCUUGCCAACAGUGGGACGUUUGUUCUCAUUGUUAAAUAAUUAAAUAGGCAGUUUGUAUUUAUUUAACAUACAGACUGUAGCCAAUUCCUGCUGACAGCUACCAAAAUAACCCCAUAUUUCCUAGCUCUGAAUGGCUCAGAAGACUGUUUCCUGACUGCGGGAGCAUCACCGCAGAGCAAAACUCUCCUCCAAGUCUCCGAACACCUUUUUCAUCACUUUAAACAAUAAAUCAAUUCACAGCAUGUGAUCCAAAAACAACAGCCCAGUUUUAUUGGAUGAGGUUCAUUCCCAUUCUCUCAGGCACUCCUUCACUACCAGCACUGAGCUGUCUUGAAGCUGUACUUGGCUGUGGAUGGAAAAAAAAAAUCUACUAGUUUUCCUCAUUUACACUUGCCCAUUAAAAAAAGUGAAUUGUGACCUAAUAACUUAAAAAAGAAAAAAAAAAAGAAGAAUUAUAACUUGGAGGAGAAAGUAGAAAGUUUGGGAGAAGCAGGCCAAUCAGGAAGUCAGGGGAAACAAGUAUUUAAAUGUGGAGGUGGGUAGUCCUUGGAGCUUGGGAAUGAUUCAAGAUAAGGUAGAGACUCUCACUGGUCUCCUAAGGUGGUCAACAUGGCAGAGGGAAGAAACUGAGCAGUCAAAGAUAGCAUCCUCUGUGGAGGGUGGUGCUAAGAGAGAUUCUAGAACCAUUUACACAUGAUCAAUGCUUUGAUCCUGUCAUGUGUAUCAGAAGAGAUGUAGACCAGGCCGGGCAUGGUGGCUCACGCCUGUAAUCCCAGCACUUUGGGAGGCCAAGGUGGGCAGAUCACUUGAGGCCAGGAGUUCGAGACCAGCCUGGCCAACGUGGUGAAACACUGUCUCUACUAAAAAUACAACAACAAUUAGCUGGGCGUGGUGGCACGUACCUGUAAUCCCAGCUACUCGGGAGGCAGAGGUUGCAGUGACUGAGAUUGCACUACUGCACUCCACUCUGGGUGACAGAGAGAGACUCUGUCUCAAAAAAAAAAAAAAAAAAAAAAAAAAAAAAAAAAAAAAAAGGAGAUAUAGACCAGACUCCUCUUGAAAUUUCCUGGUAUUUGUAGUGUCUGAGGCAUUCAGACAGUAGGUGCUAAAGACUUAUCCCUAGGAGUCCGGAGUCCCACUUAAGUGGAAGAAGGAAGCGAUUUUCCCUGUCCUAAGUGGCUAGCUACCAGCCAGCAGCCAGGCGAUGUGUGGGUACUGACAUACCACAGCAUCUUCCUCUCGAUGCUCCCACUAAUGUGGCCACCAAAGGUCCACCCUAGAGGAAACAGCAAUGAAAGGAAACAGGACAAAAGACCCCGUGGCAAGAAAAAAGAUGGCCUAAUUUUUUCUUUCUCACCAUUCCUCUUGUCCUCUUAACCCAUCUCUUUACUGUGCAAUUUGCACUUUGAGUGGCUCUACAGAUGGUGGAUACAGUGAAGACCUCUGUUAUCAAUAUUAAAACUGAGCAUCAGUGAGUCAACAAGGCUCCACUUUGUCCUGUUCAACUUUAGCAGCACCACAGAGAUCAGAACUAAGUAAAGCCAUUUACACAAUUAAGGAGGAGGCUGCCUUUUAGAGUGGCACAAGCAUUUCCUCUGGAGUAGUGUGUCUGAACCAGGAAGUCCCUCUCUGCCUUGUCUGUGGAUUUUAGACAGUCUGAAUUCAGUUUCUUCUUCUGUGAAAUAGAUCAGCCCCACUUGUACUGUCAUAGUAUUGCUCUGAGUAUGGAAAAGGACAAUGGAAAAUGAGGUGCUCUGUAUUCUGUUAUUUGUCAUUAGUUGUGUUCUACUAACCAAACUUUAGGCAUGGUGGAGUUCAUUUCUGCCUCUUCUGGAGAUAGGAAACUAUAGAACUAACUUCAGAUGUAGAUUUUUUUAAAGUUGUCACUCUGUCCCUUUUCUUGUUUGUAAAAGGAGGAAGUGCUUCUGUGUGCCCUCCAAGGCUUCUUCCAACCUUCCAAAAAAAGAAAAAAAAGGCAGACAGUCCAUUCAAGGAUGGCAAUCAUGAAAUCUUGACCUACUUUGGAAUGAGAGGCAACAUCUAAGAAAACCUCAGCUUAAUCUCUAUUAGCUCACCACAGAAGCAUAUAUUCUGGGCUAAGAUCUCUCAGAAGCUGGGCCAUGGCCAUGGCAUGUGCUUAAAGCAUAAUAAAAUGGAUGUGGAAAAAAGAGGAGUGUAUCCCACCUGCUCAUUAUCUGGGGCCAUAUUCCUAGCAGGGUAGUUCAACUAUUCACAGCCAAGAAACAUUUUUGAUCAGAGUCCAAAUCUCCAUCCAGAAACAGGUUCCUGGCAUACCACUCAUGCCCCUGUAAUCAAUUCCCUGGACUGUGAAUCAAGUGACUACUGCCAGAGCAAUGGAGUUGGAUUGUUGACUUUUUGACAGGUCUCUCGCCUCUUUCUGCAUCUUAUGUCUUCCCCGCUCUCCUUCUUGCCCCACCUACUGAAGCCCUCUACCUUCAUCCCUUUUCUCCCUUACCAAUCUCUCCUCCCUCCAUUUUUUCCUUUCUCUGCACCUCAGCUGAUGGCAGAUACUAUUUUUCAUACUUCUAAGCUUGCAUCAGUAUCAACACAGCCAGAUUCACUCACAUUUCCCUCCCCCUCCUCCCUCCCUGUCCCACUCCAAUUCUUUCCAAGGAGAACUUGGGGAUUGUGUCCAAACUGGGACUGAAUACAACCAACGAGGAACCCGAUGAUCCAAGUCCCACCCCCACAGCACACUAUAAUCCAGCACUGUAUAGAGCAGUUCACAGAACCAAAUAUAAAGCCCUUAUUAAGAAUAAACAUGUUGGCUGGGUGUAGUGGCUCAUGCCUAUAAUCCCAACACUUUGGGAGGCUGAGUUGAGUGGAUAACUUGAGUCCAGGAGUUCAAGACCUGCCUGGGCAACAUGGUGAAGCCCUGUCUUUACGAAAAAUCCAAAAAAAAAAAAAGAUUAGCUGGGCAUGGGGCAUGCGCCUGUAGGCCUAGCUACUUGGGAGGCUGAGGUGGGAGGAUAGCUUGAAUCCAGGAGGUUGAGCUGCAGUUAGCCAUGAUUGCAUCACUGCAUUCCAGCCUGGGCAACAGAGCAAGAUCCAGUCUAAAACAAAAAAACAAAAAAAGAAGAAUGAACAUUAUUCCAUAUGGAGACUUAGCCUCUGUCAGUUAGACCCCUUGACAUCCAUAACACAGAACUGGAAACUGGACAAUGGGCAAAGAAAGAAAAAUCACAGGUUCAGGUUACAGAAAAGAAGGCAGGGAGAAAGGGCAAGUUAAUCUAAAUACUGGGUAAGAGACAAAAAGCUAAAUGAGAUGGAGGAGCAUUCCGUGGUGGGAGUGGGAGGUGUUAGUAAACAGGGGCUGUGGAGCAACAUGGGUCCAGGAGAGUUGGGGAGACAGAAAAGGACAUAUGAAAAGUGUUGCCAGCUGGUAAGUUACAUCCUCAUAACUUCUUCUUAAGACAUAGAAAUUAGAGGCUAAAUUCCUUUUUCAUUACUUUUGACUGAUCUGUAAGUUUGUGAAUAUAAAUCUCUGGAAACUGAGGCACAUGGUCAAGGAGGCACACAGGCUACACGCUGGAGUUUAGGUAACUCUCAGAUCUUCUGAGCCAUCUUCAGAUUAAUCUCAGAUCAAAGAGGUUUAGAAAGGGAGAUGAUCUUCAGGAAUCUCCCUUACAAUACACUCUCAUCAGAUGCAUUUUUCAAAGGACAUUUGCUUUAGCAGAAUUGGAGAGAGAUAAAUCGCAGCCCUGUGCAUUCGAUACUUGAUACAUCCUUCCUCCACUGAGAAGCUAAUGCUCUAGUUCUGGGUUUACCUGAAGCCAUUAGGAGAGCUAAAACUCCAUGUAGUGUGCUCUGCUAAAAGUAAGUGGAUUUCGGAGCUAGAAGAAGAAUUCUCUCUCUCUGUAGUUCAAAUGGCAUUCAGAAAUCCAAUUAACGUUGGUUUUUCUAAAGCAGAAUCUGUAAUUGUGUCCAAUACUGCCAACUGUUCAGUUCGAUAAUAAAACAGGCUAUUCUUAAGAUGGCCUGUAGUCAUUAGGGAAAGUCUAGCUCUGUAGGAUACAAUUUCUCUUUGGAAUAAUAUAUGUGAUGUUUUUAUAAUUUCUUUCAUCCAAGCAUUUCAAAGCAUUUUAAAAUAAUUUGGAGACACAGGAUAUAUAUUUUUCAUAAAUUAAGCUACAUAUGUCAAUACUUUGCCUAGGGACAGAAAUUAAUUAUUCCACAGAAGUGAUGCUGGUAUCUAAUCUUAUUACAUUUAUACUGUAAAAGUAUCAUUAUUAAUAAUUAUGACAGCUAUUAUUUAUUGAAAGCAGAAUGCUUAUCCUGUUAGGCAUUGUGUUAAGUGCUUUGCGUGUAUUAUCUCAUUUAAUCUUCCCAUGAAUCCAAUUCUAAAUCUAAUCCCAUUUCAGUAUGAUUCUAUGAGUAAAGUACUACUUCUAUCCUUUUUUCACAAAUGGUGUCAAUUAGGUUCAAAAAAGUUUAAGUAGCAUGCCCAUUGUCACAUCGCUAGUAAGAAUGGUGGAGCAUCUCUUAUUGGGGAGGACCAGUUAUUAAGAGUUCCGAUGGUCAAUUUCCUUUUCAAAUGUCACUUGUGUGGCAUAUUGUGCAGCCUGUUUGAUCAUGAAGAGAUGGCCUUCUUAAUUCUAGAACCGUGUGGCUAAAAUCUUUGCUAAUUCUUGAAUGUACCAAGGGCUCUACUGUCUCUCAACACCUUGUAAGUAAAGAAAACUUAAGGGUGAUUUUUAAAGUAUGGCAAAGAACAACCUUUCUCAACUGUCAGACAGUUCUCUAGAUCACAACUAUAGCACAUACCAUACCAAAAAUUACAAAAUUUGGAAACAUAAAGUUGUCAUCUUCCUCCUGGGUUAUUGCAGUGUCCUAAUUGUUCUCCUUGCUUCUCAUUUUGCCCCCUUGGAAUAAAACCCAUGGCUAAAUGUUUUAGCCUAGCUUACCAGUAAUCUGAUCUCAUCUUAUGCCACGCUCUUCCUAACCCACUCUAUUCCAGCCACACUCACUCAGCCUUUUCCAGCUCUUCAAACACACCAAGUUCUUCUUGCCUUUAUACAUACUAUCAUCUCCUGUUGAAACUUCAUACUCCUGCUCUUCUCCCAUAUUCCUUCCUCCUAUUUCUUGGCUCUUAAAUGUUAUAAAUGGUGUUCAGUCACAUACACACACACAUUCACAAACACACACCCCACGUCUAAAUUACACCCUGUUUUUCCUUCAUAGCUCUUAUCCAUAUUUACAGUUUUCUGUUGUUUUGAGUACUUUGUCUAAUGAGUGUCUCUUCAAUUGGACUAUAAGAUCCAUGAGGGAAAAUUUCAUAUCUCUUCAUUUACCAUUGUAUUCCCAGUGCCUGAUACACUGCCUGACUAUAUUAGAAGCCAGUGAACUAUUUCAUAAGUUGAGUGACUCUAAGUUUGAUUCCUUAUCAACCACCUAAUUGCUGUGUGACCUUUGGAAAUGCAUAUUCAACUUCUUCUCUGAGUGUCAGUCUUUUCAUCUGUUAAAUGGGGCUCACAAUACCUAUAUUACAGGAUCUACAUGGAGAAGAUGUAUGCUAAUAUAUAUAAAAUGCUUCAAAAAUUGUUAAACCUUGUAGAAUCUCGAACUUUAAAUUCAGUAUCGCCCCAUUGAAGCUAAGGGUGUUUCCGCCAGUUUAGUAGGCUAAACUUGCAGAAGGAGCAGACUUUGGACAGCAUGUGGGCAAUUUUCACAAGGCGUUUAACUGGGCUUCAAGCCCAGGGCACUCAGAGGCUCAGCAAGGAGUGAAAUAGGGCCAGCUCGCCCCCCGAGGGGUCCAUCGGUCCCUUGACUAAGCUGGUAUGCUUAUGUUGUGUAUUUGUGCAUCAUAAACACAGCCAUCUAUCUGGUUUUUUGUCCUCUUUUCUGACUGACUUCUCACUCAAAGCACAAAGAAAAAGAAAGGAAAUGCAAAGUCAUGUGCAUCAACAGAGCCUAUAUCUUUGAGUAUCUUAGUGACUUGGGAUUAUUUUAAGGGAAAAAAUAUGGGAAAGUUCUGCAGGGACCUAACACACAUGGCUGGCUAUCAUCUAUACUCCAAGUAGACAUCGCUUUCUUAACUGUUGUAGUUGUUUGGAAGGAAGGGUGUGUCUGAUGCAGCCUAGAACUUUUCCCAGGGAUUUUGGGGAAAGCUCUCUUCCUUCUUAUUGAUCUGGAUUUGAAAAAGCAAUAAUAUCUAAAACUACGUUAGGGGAAAGGUCAGAAAAGAGAAGUCACCUGAUAGAGAAAGGGUCAAGGUAGACAGAGGUCACCAGUGGAGACUAAGGUCUAAGACAUAUGGUUUCCUUUGACUUUCUUCUCCUCACCAGUGGGUAAAGUGGUGAACUGGAUAUCAGCAUUCUUGGAAACUCCUGGAAGUUUUCUAAUUCUCUACAGAACCAUGAAGUGAACAGGGCACUUCAAAGAAUACUUGAUCCAUAGCCCUUGCUUUUUCAUAGGUUAGUCUCUGAAACAAAUGAGAAAGUAAUUCACAUUAUAAGUGGUAUUCCAAAAACAACAGCCAUUUGGGAUUCUUAUCUGGUAUUGAGGGGUAGACAGGAUUUUUCCAAGCUUGAAUAAAAGUCCCAGGAUCUGCUAGACACGGGGAAUUUACCCUCUCUUCUUCACCCAUGUGAAAUCUCACUCCACGACCAUUCCCUGACCUAGGCCCCAUCAUCUCCUGCUUGGGCCACUUCAAGAGACUCCUAAGCAACUUUUCGCUUCUGGUCUGGUGCCUGCUCCACUUCACCCCCAAUCCAUUCACACUUUACCCAGAGUGAUCUUUCUGAAACAAAUCUAAUCAUACAAACCCUGCUUGAAUGUCUUCCAUCAUUCUCCACGGUUGUGGAGGUAAAGUCCACACUGUAACAUGGCCUAUGAGGCCUUCCUACCUCACCAGCAUCAUCUCGUAUAAUUCUUCCCAUAUCUCACCAUCCACCUCGGCCCACCUCUUAUUAUUCAGGCAUGCUGUUCUUAAGGCAGGUCCUGAACAGGCUGUGCUCUCUUGGGACUCUAGGUCUUUACAUAUCUGUGAAUUAUAAAGUUCACCUUCUCACUACUAUUAUUCAAAACAUUUUCUUGGAGCUCUUUCAUUGCGCUUAACAUUGUACUUGGCAGUAGAACAGACAGACAGGUAAACAAGUAGUUACAGUUCAGAUAUUACAGAGGACAAAAUGUAUAAAUGUGAUAGAAGCCAGAGAAAGGGGCAACUAAUUUGGUCAGGGCGGAGCAAAGGAAAGCUUCACAAGAAGAGAAGACCAAUCACAUUAGCUCAUGUUUAGUGAACAUUUACUUAGCUCUGAGCUAAAGUGUUUUACAAAUGUUAUCUUAUCAAAUUAUCAAAAUAACUCUAGGAAAUGGAUACUGUCAGGAGAGAGGAGAGCAUAACAGUUAAGCACAUGAGUUAGGCCUCAGCUUAAACCCUGUCUCUACCACUUAGAAGAUUUCUAGCCUUGAGCAAGUUGUUUAACUCCCAAGGCAUUUUUGUCAACUUCAAAAUGGAGAUAGAUAAUAGUUUUUUUAAAAAAAUUAGUUCUGGCUGGGCGCGGUGGCUCACGCCUGUAAUCCCA
rnacentral:lncRNA from 1 species